GGAAUAUAAGAAUUUGUCUCUUAACUUUUAACUAAAAAAUCUAAGAACUGGUUCUUAAAUAAGAGUUUUAAGAGCUGGUUCUUAACUUUUUUAGUUAAAAAUUAAAAGAUAAAAGAUGGAUUCUUAUAUUCC
rfam:Brassica napus, WGS project CCCW01000000 data, contig: 20707